UACGUAGGGGGCUAGCGUUGUCCGGAAUCAUUGGGCGUAAAGCGCACGUAGGCGGAUUGUUAAGUCAGGGGUGAAAUCCUGGAGCUCAACUCCAGAACUGCCUUUGAUACUGGCGAUCUCGAGUCCGGGAGAGGUGAGUGGAACUGCGAGUGUAGAGGUGAAAUCGUAGAUAUUCGCAAGAACACCAGUGGCGAAGGCGGCUCACUGGCCCGAUACUGACGCUGAGGAGCGAAAGCGUGGGGAGCGAACAGG
rnacentral:rRNA from 1 species